rnacentral:rRNA from 1 species
UACGUAGGGGGCAAGCGUUGUCCGGAUUUAUUGGGCGUAAAGAGCGUGUAGGCGGCCAAGCAGGUCCGCUGUGAAAACUCGAGGCUCAACCUCGAGACGUCGGUGGAAACCGUUUGGCUAGAGUCCGGAAGAGGAGAGUGGAAUUCCCGGUGUAGCGGUGAAAUGCGCAGAUAUCGGGAAGAACAUCGGUGGCGAAAGCGCUCUACUGGACCGCAACUGACACUCAGGGACGAAAGCUAGGGGAGCGAAUGGG